AUACUUACCCAGCAGAGGAGAUACCAUGGUCACAAAGGUGGCUCUCCCAGGACAAGGCUGAUCCAUUGCACUCCAGAUGUGCUGACCCCUACGAUUUCCCCAAAUGUGGGAAACUGAGCUGCAAAAUUUAUGAUAGAUGGUGCUUUCUCCUGGGGGGGAGGCAGGGGAGACUCCUG
rnacentral:snRNA from 1 species